rnacentral:tRNA from 1 species
UGGGUCUUCAAAAGCCCCCUAAA